AUUGAACGCUAGCGGGAUGCCUUACACAUGCAAGUCGAACGGCAGCACGGACUUCGGUCUGGUGGCGAGUGGCGAACGGGUGAGUAAUGUAUCGGAACGUGCCUAGUAGCGGGGGAUAACUACGCGAAAGCGUAGCUAAUACCGCAUACGCCCUACGGGGGAAAGCAGGGGAUCGCAAGACCUUGCACUAUUAGAGCGGCCGAUAUCGGAUUAGCUAGUUGGUGGGGUAACGGCUCACCAAGGCGACGAUCCGUAGCUGGUUUGAGAGGACGACCAGCCACACUGGGACUGAGACACGGCCCAGACUCCUACGGGAGGCAGCAGUGGGGAAUUUUGGACAAUGGGGGAAACCCUGAUCCAGCCAUCCCGCGUGUGCGAUGAAGGCCUUCGGGUUGUAAAGCACUUUUGGCAGGAAAGAAACGUCAUGGGCUAAUACCCCGUGAAACUGACGGACCUGCAGAAUAAGCC
rnacentral:rRNA from 1 species